AUGCACGCUGGCGGCGUGCCUAAUACCUGCAAGUCGAGCGAACAGAUGAGGAGCUUGCUCCUCUGACGUUAGCGGCGGACGGGUGAGUAACACGUGGAUAACCUACCUAUAAGACUGGGAUAACUUCGGGAAACCGGAGCUAAUACCGGAUAAUAUAUUGAACCGCAUGGUUCAAUAGUGAAAGACGGUUUUGCUGUCACUUAUAGAUGGAUCCGCGCCGCAUUAGCUAGUUGGUAAGGUAACGGCUUACCAAGGCAACGAUGCGUAGCCGACCUGAGAGGGUGAUCGGCCACACUGGAACUGAGACACGGUCCAGACUCCUACGGGAGGCAGCAGUAGGGAAUCUUCCGCAAUGGGCGAAAGCCUGACGGAGCAACGCCGCGUGAGUGAUGAAGGUCUUCGGAUCGUAAAACUCUGUUAUUAGGGAAGAACAAAUGUGUAAGUAACUAUGCACGUCUGGACGGUACCUAAUCAGAAAGCCACGGCUAACUACGU
rnacentral:rRNA from 1 species